rnacentral:rRNA from 1 species
AUACGUAGGUGGCAAGCGUUGUCCGGAUUUACUGGGCGUAAAGGGAGCGUAGGCGGAUACUUAAGUGGGAUGUGAAAUACCUGGGCUUAACUUGGGUGCUGCAUUCCAAACUGGGUGUCUAGAGUGUUGGAGAGGAAAGUGGAAUUCCUAGUGUAGCGGUGAAAUGCGUAGAGAUUAGGAAGAACACCAGUGGCGAAGGCGACUUUCUGGAAAAUAACUGACGCUGAGGCUCGAAAGCGUGGGGAGCAAACAGGAUUAGAUCCCCUGGUAGUCCCCGCCGUAAACGAUGGGUACUAGGUGUAGGGGGUAUCGACUCCCCCUGUGCCGCCGUUAACACAAUAAGUACCCCGCCUGGGGAGUACGGUCGCAAGAUUAAAACUCAAAGGAAUUGACGGGG